GUUGAUUUCAUUGAAUGACUGCAUUUCAUACCUAAGACAUAUCUUCUGGCUACAGGUUGGUGUGGACAGCAUCAAAGUUCUUGAGAGUGGCUAGAACAGACCAGACUGGAUAGUCCCCUGAGUAGCCUGAUCUGGUGGAUGGAGCCCACGGCAGGGGCUUGGAACUAAAUGAUCUUGGAUGUCUCUUCUAACCCAAGCCAAUCUAUGAUUCUGUGGUAGCACUUAACACAUCAUACAGGAGAGGAUCAACUUUUAUGAUCUUGUAGAGUUUGGAGUGGAAAAGAGACACAUAGGUGAUGCUUAUGGGAAGAAAAUGUGUACUGAUUUUAAAGAAGGAUCUUGAGGUUAUCUUGGAACAGUCCUUAACAAUUCAUUGCUCAAUGCUCCAACAUACAUCUCCUCUAAUUCUAGCUAAA
ensembl:lncRNA